CUAGCGUUGUCCGGAAUCAUUGGGCGUAAAGCGCGUGUAGGCGGUCCGGUAAGUCCGCUGUGAAAGUCGGGGGCUCAACCCUCGGAUGCCGGUGGAUACUGUCGGGCUUGAGUACGGAAGAGGCGAGUGGAAUUCCUGGUGUAGCGGUGAAAUGCGCAGAUAUCAGGAAGAACACCAAUGGCGAAAGCAGCUCUCUGGGACGGUACUGACGCUGAGACGCGAAAGCGUGGGGAGCGAACAGG
rnacentral:rRNA from 1 species